CCUACGGGUGGCAGCAGUCGAGAAUCAUUCACAAUGGGGGAAACCCUGAUGGUGCGACGCCGCGUGGGGGAAUGAAGGUCUUCGGAUUGUAAACCCCUGUCAUGUGGGAGCAAAUUAAAAAGAUAGUACCACAAGAGGAAGAGACGGCUAACUCUGUGCCAGCAGCCGCGGUAAUACAGAGGUCUCAAGCGUUGUUCGGAAUCACUGGGCGUAAGGCGUGCGUAGGCUGUUUCGUAAGUCGUGUGUGAAAGGCGCGGGCUCAACCCGCGGACGGCACAUGAUACUGCGAGACUAGAGUAAUGGAGGGGGAAGCGGAAUUCUCGGUGUAGCAGUGAAAUGCGUAGAGAUCGGGAGGAACACUCGUGGCGAAGGCGGGUUCCUGGACAUUAACUGACGCUGAGGCACGAAGGCCAGGGGAGCGAAAGGGAUUAGAUACCCGUGUAGUC
rnacentral:rRNA from 1 species